UGGGAAAAGAGUGGAGCAGCACGCCCUC
rnacentral:piRNA from 1 species